GCUGAGGCCAUUGCGAGGUUUCGAAGGCACUCGGUUGCCUGCUUCUCGCGGGAAGGUCUGAGUCAUUGCAUUGCUCUCCCGUGAUGGGAGUGGCUUUGACAAAGUCAGGGGGUAACAGAAACGUAUUCCUCGUAGCUGUAUGUCCGUGGAAGCCAUUUGGUUGAGGUCUGGCUUCGAGGAAAUGAGAUGAGUCCUAGCAAGCGCGUGUAGCGAGAUUGGUACCAAAACUCAAUUCAGACUACAGUAGC
rnacentral:RNase_P_RNA from 1 species